GAUCUGGCUCAGGAUGAACGCUAGCUACAGGCUUAACACAUGCAAGUCGAGGGGCAGCAUGAUUGAAGCUUGCUUCAAUUGAUGGCGACCGGCGCACGGGUGAGUAACACGUAUCCAACCUGCCGAUAACUCGGGGAUAGCCUUUCGAAAGAAAGAUUAAUACCCGAUAGUAUAGUAUUUCCGCAUGGUUUCACUAUUAAAGAAUUUCGGUUAUCGAUGGGGAUGCGUUCCAUUAGA
rnacentral:rRNA from 1 species